rnacentral:rRNA from 1 species
GACGGAGGGUGCUAGCGUUGUCCGGAUUUAUUGGGCGUAAAGAGCGUGUAGGCGGCUUGGUAGGUCCGCUGUGAAAACUCGAGGCUCAACCUCGAGAUGUCGGCGGAAACCACUUGGCUAGAGUCCGGAAGAGGAGAGUGGAAUUCCUGGUGUAGCGGUGAAAUGCGCAGAUAUCAGGAAGAACACCUAUGGCGAAGGCAGCUCUCUGGGACGGUACUGACGCUGAGGCACGAAAGCGUGGGGAGCAAACAGG